rnacentral:rRNA from 1 species
GACGUAGGAUGCAAGCGUUGUCCGGAUUUAUUGGGCGUAAGGAGUUCGUAGGCGGUUUGUUAAGUCUGAUGUUAAAGAUCGGGGCCCAACCCCGAAACUGCAUUGGAUACUGGCAGACUGGAGUGUGGUAGAGGUAAGUGGAAUUUCUGGUGUAGCGGUGAGAUGCGUAGAUAUCAGAAAGAACACCAGUGGCGUAGGCGACUUACUGGGCCAUAACUGACGCUGAGGAACGAAAGCUAGGGGAGCAAAUGGG